CCUACGGGAGGCAGCAGUGAGGAAUAUUGCACAAUGGGCGAAAGCCUGAUGCAGCGACGCCGCGUGGGUGAAGAAGGUUUUCGGAUCGUAAAACCCUUUUCUGUGUGACGAGCAAGGACGGUAGCACAGGAAUAAGUCUCGGCUAACUACGUGCCAGCAGCCGCGGUAAAACGUAGGAGACAAACGUUAUCCGGAGUUACUGGGCGUAAAGGGCGUGUAGGUGGUUUUGUAAGUCUGGCGUGAAAUAUCUCGGCUUAACCGGGACAGGUCGUCGGAUACUGCAGAACUAGAGGACGGUAGAGGCGUGUGGAAUUCCGGGUGUAGUGGUGAAAUGCGUAGAGAUCCGGAGGAACACCAGUGGCGAAGGCGACACGCUGGGCCGUACCUGACACUGAGGCGCGAUAGCAUGGGGAGCAAACAGGAUUAGAAACCCUGGUAGUCCAUGCCGUAAACGAUGCUAGCUGGGUGUUCAGUGGGGGAAACCCCACGGGGUACCGAAGUCAACACGGUAAGCUAGCCGCCGUCGGGAGGUACGGUCGCGAGAAGUAAACUAACAAUAGAAGUAGUACGGCGUGAGACGUCGCCGACGGACGACGACGAGGGAGGUAGG
rnacentral:rRNA from 1 species